rnacentral:lncRNA from 1 species
AGAAAGGAUAUCUAGACCUCUGGGUAAGGAUGUGUGAAAGAGGACUAUGGAAGCAUAUUCUCUGGAAUUCAGGUGAUAUUUAUGUUUUCCUGGCUGCUUUUUGCCUUGCUAGCAUUUUACGUGAAGUUGACAGCUGGUAUUUUGUUCUGGCUUGCUCAGAACCUGUUAGUACCUCUUUGGCUGGCCUGGCUGUUAUUGGCUACAAUCCCUGGGGUCUCCACCAUGCCCUUCAGCUUAUGAUGUGGUCCAUAGAUCCACCUCAGCCUCUGCAAUAAGACUACUUAUUGCCACUCUGGAACCAAUGGCUGAUCAGCUGGAUCCAACAGGAUUGCUUGUGGAAGCUAAACUUAAGAAUCUCCUCCACACUGGACUUCCAAACUGAUGUGGCCAUACAUCGUGCUGUUGUGAUUAUUCUCCACAUGCCUCAGUUGGGAGCAGACACUAUGGAACCCCUCCUGCCCUCAGUGUCACACUAAUGUGUCUUAUCCUAUAUGGGCCAAAGCCUGGAAUGCAGACCUUUGGGACACACAUGGCUAAUAGUCUUGUUUGCCUGUCUCCCCAACUUUCUUUCUUUUAUUAAAAAAUGGAGAGGAAUGGUCUUUGUUUUUACAAGCAGAGUCAUGUCUUCCCCUUGUCUUUGAGCAGAAAGUCUCAUUGGAGUUCACUCUUGGGCCCAGGGCUCUGUAUCUCCACACUGAAGGCCAUCUCUUGGAGUGGGCUGCUGGAUGUGGGUACAAUAGUGUUUGGAAAGAUCCUCUUUCAGGACAGUAGAAUAUUGUCUUCUGAAUAUUUCUAUAUUGUAUUUCAGAGGCUGAAUGUUAGUACACUUUUUCUCUUUGCAUUAUUUUUGUAAAAUAUUCUAUUUUUUCCCCAAAUGGACUCCUUAUGCUGAGCUAUUCAAAAAAGACAAAAGAGAGAAGCAGGUAUAAUUUUUCAAAAUAUUUUCUACUGAACUUACAAUGUAAUCAUAGGGAUGUAGUUAGGAAAGAAUAAGAAAGCCUGGGGCAAAUUAAGCAUUGAGCACCUGAAAAAUAUUUUUGACUAUAGGAUUCUGGUUACUAAAGCUGUAAGUCUAAGGUUUGGGGCAGAUGUUCACUAUCUACACAUUAGCUGUGUGAAGUAGAGUCAUUAUUUAACUACCAUUCAUUUGUAAAGCAGAGUUGUUAAAAUUAAAUGAGAGUGUUGUAAAACAUAAGAGCUUCAUAAAAUUUUACCAUCACUGUUAUUAAUGUCAGUACUUUUAACACAGUAUUCAGGAGUCCAUUACCAUGAUUUGAAACAUGUAAAAAGCCCAGGUGUUCUGGUUUUCUGAUUUAGAAUGCUUCUGUUCAAGUUAUACAGGUUCAGUGGAAACAUCUUUGGACUAGCGAUAAAAAGAUGUAGGGAGAAGCCAAUGCACUAAGGAAUUUAGGAAGUAAUUAAAGACAGCAUUAAUAAACAAGUGAGUGGCCUGGCUGAAGAUACCACCCUGGACAAAGGUUGCCCAAACCUUGUCAACUUUAAUGUUUUUACUAUUGGACAUUAAUUUAAAGUUCCAGAGUUGGUGACUAUUUUUGGCUAGGUGGGAUUAAAGUAAAGAGUAAAAUAACUUUUAUAAAUAUGAGAAAUAUUUUUAAAAUCUUAAUUCAGUAGAAUUAACAAAUGAUUAGUUAGUAAUCUUUAAGUUAAAGCUUUCAGUUUUGAAAAUUCCAAGUUUUGAAGGUGCCAAAAUAUUAAAGAUUACUCUUGGUGCACUGGAUUUUGAGUGAUGUUUUUGCCUUUUAUUCCCCUAAGAAACCUCCACUUUUAAAAAACUGAUGUGUUACUUUUAUUAUCAGAAAAGGGAAAAUAUGAUAAAAAGGAAAGCAAAAGGACAAAGAUAUUAUGGAACUAAUUUUUAUGUCUUAAAACCAUAAACAUUCUGGUUAUCACCUUAGGUUUGACUCUUAGUAGGCAUGUUUCCUAUUUCACCAUUGCAUUUGAACUUGUAUACAUGUGCAUUAAAAAAAAAAGAUUCAAAUGAAAAUCAAACUUUAUGUUAAUCUCAUGGCAGAAUGGCGGUUGAUAAAGAUUAAUUUGGGAACAUUGUUGUGUGUAUAUUGCUGCAUUUUGUCCAUCUGAUGGACUUACAUUGUCUGACAAGGAUGCUACCUUUGGGUUUGAGUAAAAAUGCAAAGUUUCUUUGUGUUUUGUGUUGUCUACUUUUUAUAU